UACGGGGGGGGCAAGCGUUGUUCGGAAUUACUGGGCGUAAAGGGCUCGUAGGCGGCCAACUAAGUCAUACGUGAAGUCCCUCGGCUUAACCGGGGAACUGCGUCUGAUACUGGAUGGCUUGAGUUCGGGAGAGGGAUGCGGAAUUCCAGGUGUAGCGGUGAAAUACGUAGAUAUCUGGAGGAACACCGGUGGCGAAGGCGGCAUCCUGGACCGAUACUGACGCUGAGGAGCGAAAGCCAGGGGAGCAAACGGG
rnacentral:rRNA from 1 species